UACGUAGGGUGCAAGCGUUGUCCGGAAUUAUUGGGCGUAAAGAGCUCGUAGGCGGUCUGUCGCGUCUGCUGUGAAAACUCAGGGCUUAACCCUGAGCUUGCAGUGGGUACGGGCAGACUAGAGUGCGGUAGGGGAGACUGGAAUUCCUGGUGUAGCGGUGGAAUGCGCAGAUAUCAGGAGGAACACCGGUGGCGAAGGCGGGUCUCUGGGCCGUAACUGACGCUGAGGAGCGAAAGCAUGGGGAGCGAACAGG
rnacentral:rRNA from 1 species